AAAACACCCCGUUAACUGUCUUUUUACACUUUUGCCAUCAGGUACCUUGAUGACAAAGACUGAGAGACUUCGGAGGAGCUUCUUCCCCCAGACCAUCAGGUUCUUAAACUUAGGCUCCAGAAGAUCAGAAUUAAAGCUACAAUCAUCAGACAUCCAACAGCAACACAACAGAUCACAACUUUAUGAACGAAGGACAGACUCACAUCUCUCACAUUCAACACUGAACACAAUAAUGAACAAUUUGAUGAUGAUGAUGAAGAACAUUGUGAAGAAACUCUGCUGAUGACAGGAACGGGCAGACGAGCUGGAAAACAUUUGAGAGAAUAAACAGAAAUAAGAAUCAAAGCAAAUAUUAUCAAUAUUAGGCCAGAGGCCGUGUUUAGUGACUUUAGUCAUUUAGAUUCAUAAAUAAAAUGGACUUUUAAUUUUAGAAACACAUUAAAACAGUCUGAAAGAUAUAAGAUGCAUACAUGUAUUUAAAUUCAA